AGAGUUUGAUCAUGGCUCAGAUUGAACGCUGGCGGCAGGCCUAACACAUGCAAGUCGAGCGGUAGCACAGAGAGCUUGCUCUCGGGUGACGAGCGGCGGACGGGUGAGUAAUGUCUGGGAAACUGCCUGAUGGAGGGGGAUAACUACUGGAAACGGUAGCUAAUACCGCAUAACGUCGCAAGACCAAAGUGGGGGACCUUCGGGCCUCAUGCCAUCAGAUGUGCCCAGAUGGGAUUAGCUAGUAGGUGGGGUAACGGCUCACCUAGGCGACGAUCCCUAGCUGGUCUGAGAGGAUGACCAGCCACACUGGAACUGAGACACGGUCCAGACUCCUACGGGAGGCAGCAGUGGGGAAUAUUGCACAAUGGGCGCAAGCCUGAUGCAGCCAUGCCGCGUGUGUGAAGAAGGCCUUCGGGUUGUAAAGCACUUUCAGCGGGGAGGAAGGCGAUAAGGUUAAUAACCUUGUCGAUUGACGUUACCCGCAGAAGAAGCACCGGCUAACUCCGUGCCAGCAGCCGCGGUAAUACGGAGGGUGCAAGCGUUAAUCGGAAUUACUGGGCGUAAAGCGCACGCAGGCGGUCUGUCAAGUCGGAUGUGAAAUCCCGGGCUCAACCUGGGAACUGCAUUCGAAACUGGCAGGCUAGAGUCUUGUAGAGGGGGGUAGAAUUCCAGGUGUAGCGGUGAAAUGCGUAGAGAUCUGGAGGAAUACCGGUGGCGAAGGCGGCCCCUGGACAAAGACUGACGCUCAGGUGCGAAAGCGUGGGGAGCAAACAGGAUUAGAUACCCUGGUAGUCCACGCCGUAAACGAUGUCGAUUUGGAGGUUGUGCCCUUGAGGCGUGGCUUCCGGAGCUAACGCGUUAAAUCGACCGCCUGGGGAGUACGGCCGCAAGGUUAAAACUCAAAUGAAUUGACGGGGGCCCGCACAAGCGGUGGAGCAUGUGGUUUAAUUCGAUGCAACGCGAAGAACCUUACCUGGUCUUGACAUCCACAGAACUUUCCAGAGAUGGAUUGGUGCCUUCGGGAACUGUGAGACAGGUGCUGCAUGGCUGUCGUCAGCUCGUGUUGUGAAAUGUUGGGUUAAGUCCCGCAACGAGCGCAACCCUUAUCCUUUGUUGCCAGCGGUUAGGCCGGGAACUCAAAGGAGACUGCCAGUGAUAAACUGGAGGAAGGUGGGGAUGACGUCAAGUCAUCAUGGCCCUUACGACCAGGGCUACACACGUGCUACAAUGGCAUAUACAAAGAGAAGCGACCUCGCGAGAGCAAGCGGACCUCAUAAAGUAUGUCGUAGUCCGGAUUGGAGUCUGCAACUCGACUCCAUGAAGUCGGAAUCGCUAGUAAUCGUAGAUCAGAAUGCUACGGUGAAUACGUUCCCGGGCCUUGUACACACCGCCCGUCACACCAUGGGAGUGGGUUGCAAAAGAAGUAGGUAGCUUAACCUUCGGGAGGGCGCUUACCACUUUGUGAUUCAUGACUGGGGUGAAGUCGUAACAAGGUAACCGUAGGGGAACCUGCGGUUGGAUCACCU
rnacentral:rRNA from 1 species